rnacentral:rRNA from 2 species
AGGGAAACCGAGUCUUAACUGGGCGUUAAGUUGCAGGGUAUAGACCCGAAACCCGGUGAUCUAGCCAUGGGCAGGUUGAAGGUUGGGUAACACUAACUGGAGGACCGAACCGACUAAUGUUGAAAAAUUAGCGGAUGACUUGUGGCUGGGGGUGAAAGGCCAAUCAAACCGGGAGAUAGCUGGUUCUCCCCGAAAGCUAUUUAGGUAGCGCCUCGUGAACUCAUCUUCGGGGGUAGAGCACUGUUUCGGCUAGGGGGGCAUCCCGACUUACCAACCCGAUGCAAACUGCGAAUACCGAAGAAUGUUAUCACGGGAGACACACGGCGGGUGCUAACGUCCGUCGUGAAGAGGGAAACAACCCAGACCGCCAGCUAAGGUCCCAAAGUCACAGUUAAGUGGGAAACGAUGUGGGAAGGCUCAGACAGCCAGGAUGUUGGCUUAGAAGCAGCCAUCAUUUAAAGAAAGCGUAAUAGCUCACUGGUCGAGUCGGCCUGCGCGGAAGAUGUAACGGGGCUAAACUGUGCACCGAAGCUGCGGCAGCGACGCUUAUGCGUUGUUGGGUAGGGGAGCGUUCUGUAAGCCUGCGAAGGUGUCCUGUGAGGGAUGCUGGAGGUAUCAGAAGUGCGAAUGCUGACAUAAGUAACGAUAAUGCGGGUGAAAAGCCCGCUCGCCGGAAGACCAAGGGUUCCUGUCCAACGUUAAUCGGGGCAGGGUGAGUCGACCCCUAAGGCGAGGCCGAAAGGCGUAGUCGAUGGGAAACGGGUUAAUAUUCCCGUACUUGGUGUUACUGCGAAGGGGGGACGGAGAAGGCUAUGUUGGCCGGGCGACGGUUGUCCCGGUUUAAGCGUGUAGGCUGGUUUUCCAGGCAAAUCCGGAAAAUCAAG